GCUCUGGGAAGGCAGUGUGUUUUGCCAUAAAUUUAGGUCAUUAAUUUGUAUCUGUUCUUUGUUUAUUUAAGAAACAGGACAAAAGGGCAGCUGCUGAAACAUUUGGCUGUGCCGAGGGGUAGUGGGCUCAACAUGCUGGAGUUCUGCACAUGGCCAGCUUGAGUUUGUAUCCACAGCUACAGGACAGAACUUUAUGGAAACACUUUGCCAAGCCAUGUGGUGCUCGGCUUCCCUUUGCAUCAAUACCCUUUUAAUUACCUGAUCCUGCGGGGGAAAAAGUUAGGGGAAAGUGUCAGUGCAAAAGCCCAGGAGCCUGCCGGGAAUCAGACUUUUAAAAAAAAUCAGCACCAGAAAAUGUCUGGCCAUUAUUCUACACGACAGCGAUAUAAAUCCUGCAACUGGCCUGCAAAGAAAAGCCCUCACUGUGAGAAGAUGUGGUAACUUUUUAAAUAUCAUGAGUUUGCUUGUCUCAGCCUGCGGACCUGUCCUCACAAGCCACCUGAAGUGUUAAUGGAUGCUCUCUUUUGAAGAAGUCAUAACUGAAAAUGUGGUUGGAACUCAGGACUGCUCUUACAGCGCAACCUCAUCAGCAGGCCCUUCCCGGGAACACUUUGCAAGUCUGAGGAAGCUGCAGGCCCCUGUGGUCACUGGACCUCUCUUCUCGGCAAGACGCAGCAGGCAGUUCUCUGUGGAGGGACCCAGACGGUCUGCAUUCAAGACUGCAAGAAAGACCCUCAGCAAGACCUGUCUUUUAUUUUCUCUUGUACAGUCUUUGGAUUCAACGUGAGGGUCACAGGCAAAUCCCUGAAGUCUUGCUCCCAGAAUAAAUGUGAAUUUCAUUCAAAGAAAGGAUGCAUUCUUUCCCAUCAUUGCAUUGUUUUGUGCUCAGGUGGUGCAGAGGAAAAUUUAAGAAGCAUCAAGCCACGUGAUUUCUGAGAAUAGCUGAAAAGAUGCUUUUCAACAUUGGUGGAGAAAGAAGGAAAAACAAAUAAAUUAGAUGU